rnacentral:rRNA from 1 species
UACAGAGGGUGCGAGCGUUAAUCGGAAUUACUGGGCGUAAAGCGUGCGUAGACGGUUAUUUAAGUCGGGUGUGAAAGCCCCGGGCUCAACCUGGGAAUUGCAUUCGAGACUGAAUAGCUAGGGUACGGUAGAGGGAAGCGGAAUUUCCGGUGUAGCGGUGAAAUGCGUAGAUAUCAAGAGGAACACCUGAGGUGAAGACGGGUUGCUGGGCCAACACUGACGCUGAUGCGCGAAAGCCAGGGGAGCAAGCGGG